UACAGAGGGUGCGAGCGUUAAUCGGAAUUACUGGGCGUAAAGCGUGCGUAGACGGUCAAGUAAGUCGGGUGUGAAAGCCCCGGGCUCAACCUGGGAAUUGCAUUCGAGACUGCGUGGCUAGGGUGCGGAAGAGGGAAGCGGAAUUUCCGGUGUAGCGGUGAAAUGCGCAGAUAUGUGGAGGAACACCGAUGGCGAAGGCAGCCCCCUGGGUCAAGACUGACGCUCAUGCACGAAAGCGUGGGGAGCAAACAGG
rnacentral:rRNA from 1 species